GAGUGUGCCUAAAUUCACUGAAGGCACUGGAUCCUGUCUGAUAUUAGAAGCUAAUCAGGAUCAGGCCUGGUCAGUACUUGGAAGGGAGACUACCGGGGAAUGGCAGGUGGUAUCGGUU
rnacentral:rRNA from 1 species